GGUUAUAAGAUCCCUCAAAGAUGAUGAGGUGAAUAGGUUCGAGGUGGAAGCGUAGUGAUACGUGGAGCUGACGAAUACUAAUCGAUCGAAGACUUAAUCAA
rnacentral:rRNA from 1 species